UGGGGAAUAUUGCACAAUGGGCGAAAGCCUGAUGCAGCAACGCCGCGUGAGUGAUGAAGGCCUUCGGGUUGUAAAGCUCUGUCUUCUGGGACGAUAAUGACGGUACCAGAGGAGGAAGCCACGGCUAACUACGUGCCAGCAGCCGCGGUAAUACGUAGGUGGCAAGCGUUGUCCGGAUUUACUGGGCGUAAAGGAUGCGUAGGCGGAUACUUAAGUCAGAUGUGAAAAUCCCGGGAUUAACUUGGGAACUGCAUUUGAAACUGGGUAUCUAGAGUGCGGGAGAGGAAAGUGGAAUUCCUAGUGUAGCGGUGAAAUGCGUAGAGAUUAGGAAGAACACCAGUGGCGAAGGCGACUUUCUGGACCGUAACUGACGCUGAGGCAUGAAAGCGUGGGGAGCAAACA
rnacentral:rRNA from 1 species